ACGAACGCUGGCGGCGUGCUUAACCCAUGCCAGUCGAACGGAAAGGCCCUGCUUUUGUGGGGUGCUCGAGUGGCGAACGGGUGAGUAACACGUGAGUAACCUGCCCUUGACUUUGGGAUAACUUCAGGAAACUGGGGCUAAUACCGGAUAGGAGCUCCUGCUGCAUGGUGGGGGUUGGAAAGUUUCGGCGGUUGGGGAUGGACUCGCGGCUUAUCAGCUUGUUGGUGGGGUAGUGGCUUACCAAGGCUUUGACGGGUAGCCGGCCUGAGAGGGUGACCGGCCACAUUGGGACUGAGAUACGGCCAAGACUCCUACGGGAGGCAGCAGUGGGGAAUAUUGCAAAAUGGGCGGAAGCCUGAUGCAGCAACGCCGCGUGCGGGAUGACGGCCUUCGAGUUGUAAACCGCUUUCGCCUGUGACGAAGCGUGAGUGACGGUAAUGGGUAAAGAAGCACCGGCUAACUACGUG
rnacentral:rRNA from 1 species